GACGAACGCUGGUGGCGUGCCUAAUACAUGCAAGUCGAGCGGACCAAAGGGAGCUUGCUCCUGGAGGUCAGCGGCGAACGGGUGAGUAACACGUGGGCAACCUGCCUGUAAGACUGGGAUAACAUCGAGAAAUCGGUGCUAAUACCGGAUAAUAAAAAGAACUGCAUGGUUCUUUUUUGAAAGAUGGUUUCGGCUAUCACUUACAGAUGGGCCCGCGGCGCAUUAGCUAGUUGGUGAGGUAACGGCUCACCAAGGCAACGAUGCGUAGCCGACCUGAGAGGGUGAUCGGCCACACUGGGACUGAGACACGGCCCAGACUCCUACGGGAGGCAGCAGUAGGGAAUCUUCCGCAAUGGACGAAAGUCUGACGGAGCAACGCCGCGUGAGUGAUGAAGGUUUUCGGAUCGUAAAACUCUGUUGUUAGGGAAGAACAAGUGCCGUUCGAAAGGGCGGCACCUUGACGGUACCUAACGAGAAAGCCACGGCUAACUACGUGCCAGCAGCCGCGGUAAAG
rnacentral:rRNA from 1 species